rnacentral:lncRNA from 1 species
GCCGCUGCCAACCCGGAAGGAGCCCGGAGGGGCCCGGGCGGCCAGGGCGCCCCCGCCAGGAGGCCCGCCAGGUGUCCACCUGAGCCCCACGCCCUGCGCCGCGGGGCCCUUUUGGGGGCGGGGUGCCAGCUCCGAGGUGUCCUCCCACGGGCUGUAGACUGGGAAACUGAGGCCCGGGCCACGGUCCCAGACGCAGCCGGGACCCGAACCCACCUCACCUGAGCGAAUGAUAUCCGGGACUCAUCCUUUUUCGACACCUUUGCGGGAUCCAGCCCUCCAAGGAAAGCUUCCUGAGCAGUGCGCGCCACGUGUAUUGGGCACCUCACCGCGGCCACUUCACAUCCUAUCUCAGGUGGAGAAACUAAGCCACAGAAAGGAGCUGUCAUUUACCUAAAGCACCGUGGCAGGGGUUUGGCAGAGCCAGGAUUUGUACCCAGAUCGCCUGACUUCGGAGAGUAACAGCUCUUAACCACAGCACUUCGGUCUAUGCCUUGAUUUCACCAUAUGUAACAAGCAGCUGUGCCACUUUGCAUUCCCACCAGCAGCACGCAAGCGUUCGAAUUUCUCCGCACGCUCCCCAACAUCUCUUCACCUGUACGCUGGAGCUAAUAAUGACGGUGGCUGCCUGAUCGAGCAGGUGAUGAUUCAAUGGCGCAAUGUACAACAUACAGCCGGCACCAGGCACAUUGGACAAGAGCUUGCCGUGUUGCCCCAGGCUGGUCUCAAACUCCUAGCCUCAAGCAAACUUCCUGUCUCGGCCUUUCAAAACCCUGAGAUUACAAGCAUAAGAAAAGAAAAUCUUGUAAGAUGAAAGCUGAAGGAUGAGAGCAAUUAAUUGAUGAAGUAUGAUGAUCCAGGUGUCCCUGGGUGAAGAAACAACCUCUACAAAGGCCCUGAGGGUCUCGCUCAUCACCAGGCUGGAGUACAGUGACAUGAUCA